rnacentral:lncRNA from 1 species
CCCCAUCUCUGCCUCAGAGGGUGGGUCCCCUUGACUUUGACAACUUGAUCCCCUGGAAAUGUCCUACUUCCUGCUCCUCCCCAGGCCCUGCCUAGUGGGACCACGUCAUUCUCUAUUCUCAUGGACCUCUAUACCCCUCCUCUCUGAGUUCAGGUAUUCUGGUACCUGCCCACAGCAGGGAGAACAACAGACCACAUGUCCAGUCCUUGCCCAGCCCAGAUUAUGCUAUAAAGACGUUUUUUGAAAGAGAAAGAAAGAGGUGACAUUCUGUGGAGGGAUCUUAAGGGACCAGGCCUAAUCACAUCGGGGACUCGAGGCCUCCCUUCCAGGCUUGGCAGGCAGAGUAUCUCAAGAUGAAGAGAAAGACAUUUUCCCUUGCAUGCUGGCCGCUGUUUCAUCUUCUACUACUCUUAGGAAACGCUGUAACUUCUAAUGCUAACACUACAGCCACCACCCUUGGACAAACCACAUCACCCAGGGGAACUAACACAACAGCUAUAACCUCCAGUGGGAACAUCACGACCACCUCCCUCGGACCAACCACACCGUCCAGGGAAACUAACACAACGGCUAUAACCUCCAGUGACACCAGCACAAGUACUGCCCCUCCAAGGAAAGAGGAGAACCUUAGCGGACAACUGACACCAUGGGAAGUUGUUCUGGUCACUCUGGCCUCGGUUGCAAUGGCUGUGAUUCUCGUCACCGGGCUUCUCUUCCAUUUCAGAAACUCUCCAGGCCUCAGAAACCUCUUCGAUGUUAAUCUCUUACCAACUGCAUGGCCAAGCCCCUACGGGACCAGGGCAACUGCAACUGACUUCAGAGGAGACCCUUCUCCCGUAGUCAUGGAGCUGACUGGGAGGCGGGAAUAGCACUGAGCUCCCUGAAGGCAGACGCAUCACCAAUGUGUGGGGGUAGGGG